AGCAUGCUCAAUUUAAAUUUUUUUUUUUUUUUUUUGCAUGUUUUUGGAAAAAACCCUUGCUGUGGUCGCCACCAUGCACUCCCUUCUUGAGCUUGAACAGUUGCUUGAAGGCUUUGAUCUGGACUUUUAGCUCGAUAUGUGCUUUAUUCUCCUCUUAUCAUGCAUGUGCAUGACUUCUGUGGCUACCCUGGACUAUAUCACUGUCUUGAACUUCACAUAUGCUCUGUGAGUUGCACUCUAUGACUGAUACUGGGUUCUCAUGCCGUGAUUGUCUUCUUGAUAUGAUGCAACCUUCUUACUCCUCUGUAACUUCACAUGGCUAUGAUAAUGCUUAUGAAGCUGUAAUAUGAUUGUAGCUUUUACUGUUCUUGUCUUUUUCCACAUGAUUGCCUUGAUUUGUCAUCAUGAACAACCAUAUCAUUGCUAUGAAUCUAUUAUUUCAUGAUUUUGGGGUUUGCUCCU